GACGAACGCUGGCAGCGUGCUUAACACAUGCAAGUCGAACGAUGAAGCUAGAACUUGCUCUGGUGAAUUAGUGGCGAACGGGUGAGUAACACGUGAGUAACCUGCCCCGAACUCUGGGAUAACUGCUGGAAACGGUAGCUAAUACUGGAUACGACCUACGAAGGCAUCUUCUGUAGGUGGAAAGAAUUUCGGUUCGGGAUGGACUCGCGGCCUAUCAGCUUGUUGGUGAGGUAAUGGCUCACCAAGGCGACGACGGGUAGCCGGCCUGAGAGGGAGACCGGCCACACUGGGACUGGGACACGGCCCAGACUCCUACGGGAGGCAGCAGUGGGGAAUAUUGCACAAUGGGCGCAAGCCUGAUGCAGCAACGCCGCGUGAGGGAUGACGGCCUUCGGGUUGUAAACCUCUUUUAGUAGGGAAGAAGCGAAAGUGACGGUACCUGCAGAAAAAGCACCGGCUAACUACGUGCCAGCCGCCGCGGUAA
rnacentral:rRNA from 1 species